rnacentral:rRNA from 1 species
AACGUACCUUUGGGUGGGGGAUAACGUAGCGAAAGUUACGCUAAUACCGCAUACGAUCUACGGAUGAAAGCAGGGGAUUCGCAAGGACCUUGCGCUCAUAGAGCGGCCGAUAUCUGAUUAGCUAGUUGGUGGGGUAAAAGCCUACCAAGGCAUCGAUCAGUAGCUGGUCUGAGAGGACGACCAGCCACACUGGGACUGAGACACGGCCCAGACUCCUACGGGAGGCAGCAGUGGGGAAUUUUGGACAAUGGGGGCAACCCUGAUCCAGCAAUGCCGCGUGAGU